rnacentral:rRNA from 1 species
AGCGAACGCUGGCGGCAGGCCUAACACAUGCAAGUCGAACGGAUCCUUCGGGAUUAGUGGCAGACGGGUGAGUAACACGUGGGAACGUGCCCUUUGGUUCGGAACAACUCAGGGACACUUGAGCUAAUACCGGAUGUGCCCUUCGGGGGAAAGAUUUAUCGCCAUUGGAGCGGCCCGCGUCUGAUUAGCUAGUUGGUGAGGUAAAGGCUCACCAAGGCGACGAUCAGUAGCUGGUCUGCGAGGAUGAUCAGCCACAUUGGGACUGAGACACGGCCCAAACUCCUACGGGAGGCAGCAGUGGGGAAUCUUGCGCAAUGGGCGAGAGCCUGACGCAGCCAUGCCGCGUGAAUGAUGAAGGUCUUAGGAUUGUAAAAUUCUUUCACCGGGGACGAUAAUGACGGUACCCGGAGAAGAAGCCCCGGCUAACUUCGUGCCAGCCGCCGCUGUAAUAC